rnacentral:rRNA from 1 species
UACGUAGGGUGCGAGCGUUAAUCGGAAUUACUGGGCGUAAAGCGUGCGCAGGCGGUUCGUUGUGUCGGCGGUGAAAGCCCCGGGCUUAACCUGGGAAUGGCCGUCGAAACUGGCGAACUGGAGUGUGGCAGAGGGGGGUGGAAUUCCGCGUGUAGCAGUGAAAUGCGUAGAGAUGCGGAGGAACACCGAUGGCGAAGGCAGCCCCCUGGGCUGACACUGACGCUGAGGUGCGAAAGCAUGGGGAGCAAACAGG